AACGAACGCUGGCGGCGUGGAUAAGACAUGCAAGUCGGACGAGACUUUUCGUUGUAGCAAUACGAUGGAAAGUUUAGUGGCGAACGGGUGCUUAACACGUGGGCAGCCUGCCAGGAAGUGGGGGAUAGCUCGCCGAAAGGCGAAUUAAUACCGCAUGUGAUUAGAGAGGACAUCCUUUCGAAAUUAAAGUCGGGGCAACCUGACGCUUCUUGUGGGGCCCGCGGCCUAUCAGCUAGUUGGUGAGGUAACGGCUCACCAAGGCUUUGACGGGUAGCUGGUCUGAGAGGACGACCAGCCACACUGGGACUGAGACACGGCCCAGACACCUACGGGUGGCAGCAGUCGAGAAUUUUUGACAAUGGGGGAAACCCUGGUCGAGCGACGCCGCGUGGAGGAUGAAGGUCUUCGGAUUGUAAACUCCUGUCAUUGGGGAACAAGGUGCAUACGUUAACUGCGUGUGCAUUGAUAGUACCCGAAGAGGAAGAGACGGCUAACUCUGUGCCAGCCGCCGCAGUAACAC
rnacentral:rRNA from 1 species